rnacentral:rRNA from 1 species
UACGUAGGGUCCGAGCGUUGUCCGGAAUUAUUGGGUGUAAAGAGCUCGUAGGCGGUCUGUCGCGUCGGCUGUGAAAACUCAGGGCUCAACCCUGAGCCUGCAGUCGAUACGGGCAGACUAGAGUUCGGUAGGGGAGACUGGAAUUCCUGGUGUAGCGGUGAAAUGCGCAGAUAUCAGGAGGAACACCGGUGGCGAAGGCGGGUCUCUGGGCAGUAACUGACGCUGAGAAGCGAAAGCGUGGGGAGCGAACAGG